rnacentral:rRNA from 1 species
AUUGAACGCUGGCGGCAUGCCUUACACAUGCAAGUCGAACGGUAACAGGUCUUCGGAUGCUGACGAGUGGCGAACGGGUGAGUAAUACAUCGGAACGUGCCUAGUAGUGGGGGAUAACUACUCGAAAGAGUGGCUAAUACCGCAUGGGAUCUACGGAUGAAAGCAGGGGAUCGCAAGGCCUUGUGCUACUAGAGCAGCCGAUGGCAGAUUAGGUAGUUGGUGGGAUAAAAGCUUACCAAGCCGACGAUCUGUAGCUGGUCUGAGAGGACGAUCAGCCACACUGGGACUGAGACACGGCCCAGACUCCUACGGGAGGCAGCAGUGGGGAAUUUUGGACAAUGGGCGCAAGCCUGAUCCAGCAAUGCCGCGUGCAGGAUGAAGGCCUUCGGGUUGUAAACUGCUUUUGUACGGAACGAAAAGCCCCGGGUUAAUACCCUGGGGUCAUGACGGUACCGUAAGAAUAAGCACCGGCUAACUACGUGCCAGCCGCCGCAGUAA